UCGAGGAUCUUCGGCAAUGGGCGCAAGCCUGACCGAGCGACGCCGCGUGCGCGAUGAAGGCCUUCGGGUUGUAAAGCGCUGUCAGGGGGGAGGAAAAUCUAGCAAUAGAUCUGACCUAUCCCCAGAGGAAGCACGGGCUAAGUUCGUGCCAGCAGCCGCGGUAAGACGAACCGUGCGAACGUUGUUCGGAAUCACUGGGCUUAAAGGGCGCGUAGGCGGUUUACCAAGUCCGGGGUGAAAUCUUUCGGCUUAACCGGAAAAGUGCCUUGGAUACUGGUAAACUUGAGGGAGGUAGGGGCAUGUGGAACUUCCGGUGGAGCGGUGAAAUGCGUUGAUAUCGGAAGGAACGCCGGUGGCGAAAGCGACGUGCUGGACCUCUUCUGACGCUGAGGCGCGAAAGCUAGGGUAGCGAACGGGAUUAGAUACCCGUGUAGUCC
rnacentral:rRNA from 1 species